rnacentral:rRNA from 2 species
AGAGUUUGAUCCUGGCUCAGGAUGAACGCUGGCGGCGUGCCUAAUACAUGCAAGUCGAGCGAACCACUUCGGUGGUGAGCGGCGAACGGGUGAGUAACACGUAGGUGAUCUGCCCAUCAGACGGGGACAACGAUUGGAAACGAUCGCUAAUACCGGAUAGGACGAAAGUUUAAAGGUGCUUCUGGCACCGCUGAUGGAUGAGCCUGCGGCGCAUUAGCUAGUUGGUAGGGUAAAGGCCUACCAAGGCGACGAUGCGUAGCCGACCUGAGAGGGUGAACGGCCACACUGGGACUGAGACACGGCCCAGACUCCUACGGGAGGCAGCAGUAGGGAAUCUUCGGCAAUGGGCGAAAGCCUGACCGAGCAACGCCGCGUGAAUGAUGAAGGCCUUCGGGUUGUAAAAUUCUGUUAUAAGGGAAGAACGACUUUAGUAGGAAAUGGCUAGAGUGUGACGGUACCUUAUGAGAAAGCCACGGCUAACUACGUGCCAGCAGCCGCGGUAAUACGUAGGUGGCGAGCGUUAUCCGGAAUUAUUGGGCGUAAAGAGCGCGCAGGUGGUUGAUUAAGUCUGAUGUGAAAGCCCACGGCUUAACCGUGGAGGGUCAUUGGAAACUGGUCGACUUGAGUGCAGAAGAGGGAAGUGGAAUUCCAUGUGUAGCGGUGAAAUGCGUAGAGAUAUGGAGGAACACCAGUGGCGAAGGCGGCUUCCUGGUCUGUAACUGACACUGAGGCGCGAAAGCGUGGGGAGCAAACAGGAUUAGAUACCCUGGUAGUCCACGC